UACGUAGGUGGCAAGCGUUGUCCGGAUUUACUGGGCGUAAAGAGCGCGCAGGCGGUCGGAUCAGUCGAAUGUGAAAGCCCCCGGCUCAACUGGGGAGGGUCAUUCGAUACUGUCCGACUCGAAGGCAGGAGAGGGAAGCGGAAUUCCCGGUGUAGUGGUGAAAUGCGUAGAUAUCGGGGAGGAACACCAGUGGCGAAGGCGCUUUCUGGCCUGUUCUUGACGCUGAGGCGCGAAAAGCUAGGGGGAGCGAAACGGG
rnacentral:rRNA from 1 species